AAUCAACGCUGGCGGCGUGCCUAACACAUGCAAGUCGCACGAGAAAGUGGAGCAAUCCAUGAGUAAAGUGGCGCACGGGUGAGUAACACGUGAAUAAUCUACCUCCGAGUGGGGAAUAACUGAGAGAAAUCUUAGCUAAUACCGCAUAACACUUACGAGUCAAAGCAGCAAUGCGCUUGGAGAGGAGUUCGCGGCCGAUUAGUUAGUUGGCGGGGUAAGGCCCACCAAGACGAUGAUCGGUAUCCGGCCUGAGAGGGCGCACGGACACACUGGAACUGAAACACGGUCCAGACUCCUACGGGAGGCAGCAGUGGGGAAUUUUGCGCAAUGGGGGAAACCCUGACGCAGCAACGCCGCGUGGAGGAUGAAGUAUCUUGGUACGUAAACUCCUUUCGAUUGGGAAGAUAAUGACGGUACCAAUAGAAGAAGCCCCGGCUAACUUCGUGCCAGCCGCCGACCGU
rnacentral:rRNA from 1 species